rnacentral:rRNA from 1 species
AGUGAACGCUGGCGGUAGGCCUAACACAUGCCAGUCGAACGGCAGCACAGUAAGAGCUUGCUCUUACGGGUGGCGAGUGGCGGACGGGUGAGGAAUACAUCGGAAUCUACUUUUUCGUGGGGGAUAACGUAGGGAAACUUACGCUAAUACCGCAUACGACCUACGGGUGAAAGCAGGGGAUCUUCGGACCUUGCGCUAUUGAAUGAGCCGAUGUCGGAUUAGCUAGUUGGCGGGGUAAAGGCCCACCAAGGCGACGAUCCGUAGCUGGUCUGAGAGGAUGAUCCGCCACACUGGAACUGAGACACGGUCCAGACUCCUACGGGAGGCAGCAGUGGGGAAUAUUGGACAAUGGGCGCAAGCCUAAUCCAGCCAUACCGCGUGGGUGAAGAAGGCCUUCGGGUUGUAAAGCCCUUUUGUUGGGAAAGAAAAGCAGCAGGUUAAUACCCCGCUGUUCUGACGGUACCCAAAGAAUAAGCACCGGCUAACUUCGUG